rnacentral:rRNA from 1 species
GUGCCAGGAGCAAAAUUCCAGCUCCAAUAGCGUAUAUUAAAGUUGUUGCGGUUAAAAAGCUCGUAGUUGAACCUUGGGCCUGGCUGGCCGGUCCGCCUCACCGCGUGCACUGGUCCGGCCGGGCCUUUCCCUCUGUGGAACCCCAUACCCUUCACUGGGCGUGGCGGGGAAACAGGACAUUUACUUUGAAAAAAUUAGAGUGCUCCAGGCAGGCCUAUGCUCGAAUACAUUAGCAUGGAAUAAUAAAAUAGGACGCGCGGUUCUAUUUUGUUGGUUUAUAGGACCGCCGUAAUGAUUAAUAGGGACAGUCGGGGGCAUCAGUAUUCAACUGUCAGAGGUGAAAUUCUUGGAUCAGUUGAAGACUAACUACUGCGAAAGCAUUUGCCAAGGAUGUUUUCAUUAAUCAGGAACGAAAGUUAGGGGAUCGAAGACGAUCAGAUACCGUCGUAGUCUUAACCAUAAACUAUGCCGACUAGGGAUCGGGACGGUGUUAUUUCAUGACCCGUUCGGGCACCUUACGAGAAAUCAAAGUGCUUGGGCUCCAGGGGGAGUAUGGGCCGCAAGGCUGAAAACUUAAAGAAAUUGACGGAAGGGCACCACCCAGGGGUGGGAGGCCUGCGGCUUAAUUUGACUCAACACGGGGAAAACUCAACCAGGGUCCAGGACACAAUAAGGAAUUGACAGAUUGAGAGCUUCUUUCCUUGAUUUUGUGGGUUGGGGGUGCAUGGCCGUUCUUAGUUGGGGGGGGGGGACUUGGCCGGCUU